CAUGGUGGGAGAAGUGGGUUGGAGAGAGCCCCCUGCUCCAGGGUACUGCCUGCCACGGGCAGAACCUGGUGCUUCCAGGCCCUGCAGAACAGGAGGGCCAGCGGACCCCCUUGCCCAGAUGAAAGUCAGGAGGGGCACUCAGGGGCAGGAGGUGUGGGAAAGGGGGCAGGAUCUCCAUGGAAUCGAAGCCCAGGGAUUGGCCGUCAGGAGAUGUGGCUUCUGGCCUUGGUUCUCCUGUGCCAUUGCUGUGUGACCUUGGACAAGUCACUCUCUGUCUCUUGGCCUCCAUUCGGCCAAGAGCGACAGGCUGAGUUAGACCAGUGGUGAUUAAAUCCAGCCAGCCUCAGAACACCCAGAAAGCCUAUGCAAGGCAUGGGAGCCACUGGCCCAGAUGGUGUGUAAGAACCUGUUGACCUUCUGGUGGCCCCUGUGUGAUGUCCCUUGGACGCGGUUCUCACAGUCUCUCCGGAAGGCUGACAUCAGCUUGCUCUGGCCCAGAUAAGCACAGUCGCACUAACAGGUCAGGAAGAGCCUGCAGGACGUGCCUGUGUGAGCAGAGGUCGGAGUGGGGCUGCGUGUGUGACAGUCAAGGGAAAGUCCCACACAAUAUAAGAUAGUGCAGCCGCUAUAGAAAACAAUAUGGAGGUUCCCUAAAAAGUUAAAAAUAGAACUGCCGUAUGAUCCAGCAAUUCUACUUCUGAGUACAUACCCCCAAAGAAAUGAGAGCAGAGACUCCGACAGAUAUUUGUGCACCCGUCUUCAGAGCAGCACCAAUCACAACGGCCAAAAGGCAGAAGCAACUCAAGUGCCCAUCGAUGGACAAAUAAAUAGACAAAGAAAAUGUGCUGUAGUCAGACAGUGGAUCACCAUGCAGCCUCGAAAGACUUCCUGACACACGCAACAACAUGGACAAGCCUUGAAGAAGUCAUGCUAAGGGAAAUUAAGCCAGUCGCAAAAAGGACUCAUAUUGCGUGUUUUCAUGUACGGUGCCAGGAAUAAUCACAUGCAGAGAGACAGGAAGGAGAAGGGUGGUCGUCAGGGGCCAGGAGGAUGGGGAACUGGAAUCACUGGGUCAUGGCUAUGGGGUUCCGGUUUGUGAUGACAAGAAGUUCUCGGGGAUGGUUGCACACCAGUGUGAUUGUAUUUAAUACCACUGGGCCACACAUCUAAAAAUGGGGAACAUGGUAAAUAUCAUGUGUCUUUCCGUAAUGUUUUUUUUAAUUUGAAGAAUGUCUUAUAGAGGUCAAUUCUAAAUUCAAGGAUAAUUAACUCAAAACUCCUUUCAGGAGCAAUGGAAAGUUGGGGGUGAAGGUGUCAUUGGGGCAAAUUCCUCCCUGAAGCCCUCAAACCAUGCCGGGUCAAGGUCGCAGCCCUGUCCCCACAGACUCGUGGGUGGGAACCCUGUUUCUCCGGGCUAGUGGGUGGUCGAGAGGCUGCGGUCUGGUGUUGUGACCCUGGCUGAAUGCUCCUUCCCUCCACGCAGACACAGGACAAAAGCAGUUGCUUCCAGCACUGCCACAUGCCCCACCUGAAAGUGGGUGCCCUGCCUCCUGCACCCCUACACAACAAGCCUCCAAGGGCUUCUUGCCUGAGAGGACAACAGAGGUCCAGGGCAUGUACCUGGGGUUGCACACAAUCACUUGGUGGCAGAACCGUGCUUGGACACUGUGGACAUCAUGCCAGCUGCUGGGGGCAUUGGGGGGAGGGCAGCCAUGCAGUGUGGAAUGACACGGCACUUACAUGGGGGGGCGGGGAGAAACCAGUCAAAACACCGUUUGUACUUUCUCCCCACAUGGUGGCUUGUUCUGGACCUAGUGGUUCCACAGGACCUUUCUAGGGACGGUCCUCAGAACUGGGCAAAUGGCCACGUUCUCUGAGACACUGAGGCCAGCUUGGAAAUACGUCACCUAGGCGUUGCAUUCCUUCCACCCUGCUCUGAUUCUGUCCCGUCACUCUUGCUUCCUGGGCGUUGCACUCACCAUUAAAGCACUAGCACACAAGAUUUGCUCCAGGUUCUGUUUUCUGGGGGAACUCAAGCUGAAAAGGGUUGACUUUGGCAAAUCCAACACAACACUCAGCAAAAAUAAGUGCUGAAGAAGGGUGGAUGGACAGAUGGAUGGACGGGUGAAUGGAUGGAUGGACAGAUGGGUGGAUGGAUGGAAACCUUCACAAUAGACAGAGUGAGGAAAUGCCUCUUAGAGAUGCAAACGUAGAUACCUACAUAUUCAAGCUAAAAACACUGGUGCAGAAAACCAGGGCAGCCCCGCCCCACUUAUAUCCCCCCCACACCCCGUUCCCCUCCCCUAUACUAAAAACACACAUUCAGAU